rnacentral:rRNA from 1 species
UACGGAGGGGGCUAGCGUUGUUCGGAAUUAUUGGGCGUAAAGAGCUCGUAGGCGGCUUGUCGCGUCGGAUGUGAAAGCCCGGGGCUUAACUCCGGGUCUGCAUUCGAUACGGGCAGGCUAGAGUUCGGUAGGGGAGAUCGGAAUUCCUGGUGUAGCGGUGAAAUGCGCAGAUAUCAGGAGGAACACCGGUGGCGAAGGCGGAUCUCUGGGCCGAUACUGACGCUGAGGAGCGAAAGCGUGGGGAGCGAACAGG